rnacentral:sRNA from 1 species
UAAUAAGAAUAAGUGUUUAAGCAACUCUCUGUGUUGUGUUGAUCUCUAUACCCUCUUAAAUACCGUAUGACCUACGAUAACAUCUCUACCC